rnacentral:rRNA from 1 species
CCUACGGGUGGCAGCAGUGAGGAAUAUUGGUCAAUGGACGAGAGUCUGAACCAGCCAAGUAGCGUGAAGGAUGACUGCCCUAUGGGUUGUAAACUUCUUUUAUAUGGGAAUAAAAUGUUCCACGUGUGGGAUUUUGUAUGUACCAUAUGACUAAGGAUCGGCUAACUCCGUGCCAGCAGCCGCGGGAAUACGGAGGAUCCGAGCGUUAUCCGGAUUUAUUGGGUUUAAAGGUAGCGUAGGUGGAUUGUUAAGUCAGUUGUGAAAGUUUGCGGCUCAACCGUAAAAUUGCAGUUGAAACUGGCAGUCUUGAGUACAGUAGAGGUGGGCGGAAUUCGUGGUGUAGCGGUGAAAUGCUUAGAUAUCACGAAGAACUCCGAUUGCGAAGGCAGUUCACUGGACUGCAACUGACACUGAGGCUCGAAAGUGUGGGUAUCAAACAGGAUUAGAUACCCCAGUAGUC